UUCGAGCCGAGGGGCAAAGCGGAAACUUCAGGUCGACGUCGAUCAGAAACAGUAGCUAGUAGCCCGAUCCCAGUGACGGACUGACUGAAGCCGGGAUAAGUACUGAGCCCACGCAAAGGGCAGUCAGGCAGUAUCUUA
rnacentral:ncRNA from 1 species